CCUACGGGUGGCUGCAGUGGGGAAUAUUGGACAAUGGGGGGAACCCUGAUCCAGCCAUUCCGCGUGUGUGAAGAAGGCCCUCGGGUUGUAAAGCACUUUCAGUGAGGAAGAACGCCUGGUGGUUAAUACCCAUCAGGAAAGACAUCACUCACAGAAGAAGCACCGGCUAACUCCGUGCCAGCAGCCGCGGUAAUACGGAGGGUGCGAGCGUUAAUCGGAAUUACUGGGCGUAAAGCGCGCGUAGGUGGCUUGAUAAGCCGGUUGUGAAAGCCCCGGGCUCAACCUGGGAACGGCAUCCGGAACUGUCAAGCUAGAGUGCAGGAGAGGAAGGUAGAAUUCCCGGUGUAGCGGUGAAAUGCGUAGAGAUCGGGAGGAAUACCAGUGGCGAAGGCGGCCUUCUGGACUGACACUGACACUGAGGUGCGAAAGCGUGGGUAGCAAACAGGAUUAGAUACCCCGGUAGUC
rnacentral:rRNA from 1 species